rnacentral:rRNA from 1 species
GACGAACGCUGGCGGCGUGCUUAACACAUGCAAGUCGAACGGAAAGGCCCUGCUUUUGUGGGGUGCUCGAGUGGCGAACGGGUGAGUAACACGUGAGUAACCUGCCCCUGACUUUGGGAUAACUUCAGGAAACUGGGGCUAAUAUCGGAUAGGAGAUACUGCUGCACGGUGGGGGUUGGAAAGUGUCGGCGGUUGGGGAUGGACUAGCGGCUUAUGAGCUAGUUGGUGGGGUAGUGGCGGACCAAGGCUUCGACGGAUAGCCGGCCUGAGCGGGUGACCGGCCACAUUGGGACUGCGGUACGGCCCAGACUCGUACGGGAGGCAGCAGUGGGAAAUAUUGCGCAAUGGGCGGGCGCCUGAUGCAGCAACGCCGCGUGCGUGAUGACGGCCUUCGGGUUAUAAACCGCUUUCGCCUGUGCCGAAGCGUGAGUGACGGUAGUUGGUAAAAAAGCACCGGCUAACUACGUG